rnacentral:rRNA from 1 species
GACGAACGCUGGCGGCGUGCUUAACACAUGCAAGUCGAACGGAAAGGCCCUGCUUUUGUGGGGUGCUCGAGUGGCGAACGGGUGAGUAACACGUGAGUAACCUGCCCUUGACUUUGGGAUAACUUCAGGAAACUGGGGCUAAUACCGGAUAGGAGCUCCUGCUGCAUGGUGGGGGUUGGAAAGUUUCGGCGGUUGGUGAUGGACUCGCGGCUUAUCAGCUUGUUGGUGGGGUAGUGGCUUACCAAGGCUUUGACGGGUAGCCGGCCUGAGAGGGUGACCGGCCACAUUGGGACUGAGAUACGGCCCAGACUCCUACGGGAGGCAGCAGUGGGGAAUAUAGCACAAUGGGCGGAAGCCUGAUGCAGCAACGCCGCGUGCGGGAUGACGGCCUUCGGGUUGUAAACCGCUUUCGCCUGUGACGAAGCGUGAGUGACGGUAAUGGGUAAAGAAGCACCGGCUAACUACGUG